GACGAACGCUGGCGGCGUGCCUAAUACAUGCAAGUAGAACGCUGAAGGAGGAGCUUGCUUCUCUGGAUGAGUUGCGAACGGGUGAGUAACGCGUAGGUAACCUGCCUGGUAGCGGGGGAUAACUAUUAGAAACGAUAGCUAAUACCGCAUAAUAGUAGAUGUUGCAUGACAUUUGCUUAAAAGGUGCAAUUGCAUCACUACCAGAUGGACCUGCGUUGUAUUAGCUAGUUGGUGGGGUAACGGCUCACCAAGGCGACGAUACAUAGCCGAACUGAGAGGGUGAUCGGCCACACUGGGACUGAGACACGGCCCAGACUGCUACGGGAGGCAGCAGGAGGGAAUCUUCGGCAAUGGACGGAAGUCUGACCGAGCAACGCCGCGUGAGUGAAGAAGGGUGUCGGAUCGGAAAGCUCGGUUGUAAGAGAAGAACGAGUGUGAGAGUGGAAAGUUCACACUGUGACGGCAUCUUACCAGAAAGGGACGGCUAACUACGUG
rnacentral:rRNA from 1 species